CUUCGGUCAGAGUGCUGCCACCACUGCCGGUCCGAUCCCCUUUGGAAGUCCUGCAACUCCAGUCCAAGGCUUCAACUCUGUUCCUUUCGGGUCCCCCAGUCCCCAGCAGGCUCCCUCCUUCUCCAUCGGAGCCGGAUCAAAGCCAAUUGGAGCUCGUCAGAGGCUUCAGGCGCGGAGGCAGCACAACAGGAAGAAGUAACGUGCUCCGUGUGUCCAGCUCCGCCUAAAGAGGACUUCAGCUGCUGCUAUCGUUGAUCUGGCUUACGUUGCUCUGAUCAAACCCCUCAAACCUGGCUGCCACCACGUCCUCUGCUCCCCCUCCUCAAGUGGUUGUGCUUGCCCGAAACAUUCUGUUUGUAGAGGAGUUAGAAUUAGAAAGCGGCCUGGAUAGCUACAUGUGAGGAGACAGGAUCCAUAACAACGUACUAUACUUGAAGAGAGGGAGAAGACACGUUUGAUUUUGAACAAAAGCAUAUCCAAAGUCCUUUUUUUUCCCUUUUACAGUGUGUGGACACUCCCAUUGGUUGGUCUUAAGGAGAAGUUGAGACGCCUCGACUCAAACAUUUAUUUUUUAUACGUGAAGAGCUCACUGGUUUGUAUGUUACAGAGUAUUUGAGUUCGUUAUCUGAAUGAAUGAGUGUGAUUGGGAUGAAAGGCACAGUUGAUUCAGAUAAGGUACAAAAACACUGCAGUGUAAAUGUAAAGUUAUGAGAAGUUUGCAUUUUUAAAUUAUUUUUUUAAUUGGCUCUCUGACCCUGUAAAUGAAUUAUGUGUUUCUGCACUUAAAGGGCGACUUAGUUAAUGUCUUAAAGUAGUUACUGCAGACUUUUGUGUUCUCGUCUCAUACUUUUUGUCAUUUCAAGCAUUCCUAGAGCCUUUUUUUGACAGUGAUUGCCAACACUGAUGUAAUUAGCAGGUCAGUAUAGGACUAAGAUGACUACUCUUAUCUUAUGCUAACUCAUCAACUUCAUGCCUGUGAAAAGAAUCUGUGAACUCCGUCUCUCUUUAUGCUGAGAUGUUUGUUUGUGCCAGACUACCUCUCUUUGCUCCAGGCGCUGAAUCUGUGUCACUGACAGGAUUGAGAAGAUCAAUAAUAUUUUAACACCUUUUUUAAUUAAUACAGUCAGUGUUUAAAUUACAUGCUGCAAAACAAACAUUAGCCCCUCUGGUAUUUCAUUGUUUUAGUAGAUAAAUAAUAUCAGCUUUACUUAGAUACAAUUUGUCAUAUUGAAAAGUAUUAGUUAUCUGCUUAGUAAUUGCAUAAACUCAAAAAUGAUGAUGUCAAAGAUUUUUGUCAAACACACAGGACGAUAAACACAUUUCUGUCUGCGGUCGAGGUUUUUUUUUAUUAAAAUGAUUUCUGUUU